rnacentral:rRNA from 1 species
GAACGCUGGCGGCGUGGAUAAGACAUGCAAGUCGGACGGGGUCCAAAGGCGGUAGCAAUACCGCCCUUGGGCUUGAGUGGCGAACGGGUGCGUAACACGUGACUACUUGUACCUGCCCCAAAGUGGGGAAUAGCCCGCCGAAAGGCGGAUUAAUACCGCAUGUGGCCUUGGUAAAAGGCCAAAGCCCGCAAGGGCGCUUUGGGAGGGGGUCGCGGCCUAUCAGCUGGUUGGCGAGGUAAAGGCCCACCAAGGCCUUGACGGGUAGCUGGUCUGAGAGGACGACCAGCCACACUGGAACUGAGAGACGGUCCAGACACCUACGGGUGGCAGCAGUCGAGAAUUUUUCUCAAUGGGGGCAACCCUGAAGGAGCGACGCCGCGUGGAGGAUGAAGGCUUUCGGGUUGUAAACUCCUGUCAUUGGGGAACAAGGCCCCUGCAAAGGGGCCCGCUAGUACCCAAAGAGGAAGAGACGGCUAACUCUGUGCCAGCAGCCGCGGUAAUACAGAGGUCUCAAGCGUUGUUCGGAUUCAUUGGGCGUAAAGGGCGCGUAGGCGGCAAGGCAAGUCGGGUGUGAAAGCUUGGGGCUCAACCCCGAAAGGGCACUCGAAACUGCCCUGCUAGAGGGCCGGAGAGGAGAUCGGAAUUCACGGUGUAGCAGUGAAAUGCGUAGAGCUCGUGAGGAAGACCGGUGGCGAAGGCGGAUCUCUGGACGGCCCCUGACGCAGAGGCGCGAAGGCUAGGGGAGCAAACGGGAUUAGAUACCCCGGUAGUCCUAGCAGUAAACGGUGCACGUUUGGUGUGCGCGGAUUCGACCCCGUGCGUGCCGGAGCUAACGCGUUAAACGUGCCGCCUGAGGAGUACGGUCGCAAGAUUAAAACUCAAAGAAAUUGACGGGGGCCCGCACAAGCGGUGGAGUAUGUGGCUUAAUUCGAUGCAACGCGAAGAACCUUACCUGGCCUUGACAUGCCUUGUGUCGCCGGUGAAAGCCGGCUAGCCCUCCGAAAGGGGGGCCCUUGGCACAGGUGCUGCAUGGCUGUCGUCAGCUCGUGUCGUGAGAUGUUGGGUUAAGUCCCGCAACGAGCGCAACCCCUGUGAGUUGUUGCCCGAUUGGCCUUUGGGCCAGUGGCACUCUACUCAGACUGCCCUGUGAAACGGGGAGGAAGGUGGGGACGACGUCAAGUCAGGAUGGCCCUUACGGCCAGGGCUGCACACGUACUACAAUGCCCAGCACAAAAGGACCCGAAACCGCGAGGUGGAGGCAAUCGCACCCAAAGCUGGGCCCAGUUCGGAUUGUAGGCUGCAACUCGCCUACAUGAAGCCGGAAUCGCUAGUAAUGGCGCAUCAGCUACGGCGCCGUGAAUACGUUCCCGGGCCUUGUACACACCGCCCGUCACAUCAUGGGAGUCGCUGGUACCCGAAGUGUCUAGAGCCAACCGCGCCUUUUUGGCGGGGGGGCAGGGCCCGAAGGUAUGAGCGGUAACUGGGAUGAAGUC